UCCAGCGUGGUGUAAUGGUUUGAGCACUGGACUAUGACUCCAGAGGCCAAGGUUCGAAUCCCCACUUGGCCAUGGAA